rnacentral:rRNA from 1 species
UACGGAGGAUCCGAGCGUUAUCCGGAUUUACUGGGUUUAAAGGGUGCGUAGGCGGGCGCCUAAGUCAGCGGUGAAAGGCAGCGGCUCAACCGUUGGAAUGCCGUUGAGACUGGGCGCCUUGGAUUCGGUCGGGGCCGGCGGAAUGCGUGGUGUAGCGGUGAAAUGCUUAGAUAUCACGCGGAACGCCGAUCGCGAAGGCAGCUGGCCAGGCCGAGAUCGACGCUGAGGCACGAAAGCGUGGGGAUCAAACAGG